GCCAGCUUAGUAUAAUGGUUUGAAUGUUGGACUAUGGCUCUGGAAACCAGGGUUCAAUUCCCAGCUCAGCCA
rnacentral:tRNA from 1 species